AUCGGGUUUGAUAAGAGGUUUUGAGAUUUCCUGUAGAUGGCAGCAAUGCAACAAUUCUGGAUGCUGGCUGCCGUGAACCGCAAAGAAGAAGAACAGUCGCAGAAGAAGUCGAAACCACAGGAAGCAGGAAAAGCGCAAAACACAACAAACCAUCGCACUUUCUCGUGACCUGCGUAUGAGGAAGCAAUAGAAGACGCGUACAGUCGAGUAGGUUACAGCUAGCCACCAGUAGACCAGCUCUGAGAGGAAAGCAUGAGGAGCUACGAGGUCUGGAAAACGAGAUGGAGCUGAUCACUACGAGCUUUGACGUGAGCAGACGACGUUUACAGGACAGAGAAGCUGAUGUACAGUAGGAGAAAUCUUCUUCACAUCACUGUCUGCUCACUCUGGUUCCAAACUUAUAGUAGGAGGGGACUUUAAUUUAGUAUUUAACCCAGAGUUGGACAGGCUAAGCAAAGCUGUGAGCAACAGGAACUGGCAAUCAGUACAGACCUUAAAACAGUACAUGGAUGACUUCGGUCUCUGUGACACAUGGCGUUCUCUUCAUCCUACAUUCAGGGAAUAUACCUUUUUCUCACCAGUUCACCACUCUCACUCCCGUAUAGAUUAUAUUUUAGUAAAUAACUCAGUCUUACAAGAUGUCUCUGACACCAAUAUUCACUCUAUCACAAUCAGUGAUCAUGCACCAAUGUCCAUUUCGUUGAUUAAGACAGUCACACCAUCAUCCAGGAAUUGGAGGUUUAAUACAUCAUUACUCAAUGAUCAAGACUUCAUCAGUUAUGUCAGGAGAGAAUGGAAAACCUUUAUAGAAAUCAACGAUACACCGGAAAUCUCACCCUGUGUUCUUUGGGAGACUGGGAAGGCAGUUAUGCGCGGUAGAAUUAUUUCAUAUUCAUCACACAAGAAAAAAAAGGACAUGUUACUUGAAUUAGAAUUAGAGCAAAAAAUAAAAUCUCUAGAGAUUAAAUAUGCAGCCUCUCCAACCAAUGAUGUCCUAGAAGACCUAAAGAAUCUAAAGCUGAAAUUAAAUAAUAUAAUUGAUUGCAAAACUCAGUUUCAGAUAGACCAAUUACGCUGGGAGAACUUUGACCAUGCUAACAAAUGUGGUAAAUUUCUAGCUAACCAAUUAAAAAAUAACAAAGAGAAACAAAUCAUCCAUUCAAUAACUAAUAAGGAAGGCAACAUUACUUGUGAUCCCCAUGAAAUAAAUGAUACCUUUAAAAACUUUUACCAAGAGUUAUAUACGUCCCAAAUAGAUCCAUCCACCUCAGCCAUAGAGGAGUUUCUGAAUAAACUAGAACUGCCAAAGCUAAAUAAAGAACAAUCUACAACUCAUUGUUAUCUUUGGCAGAACUACAAGAAGCUCUGCAGGAGAUGCCCAAUAAAAAAGCUCCAGGACCAGAUGGAUUACCAACUGAAUUUUAUAAAGAGUUCUGGUCCAUGCUGGCACCCAGCUUUUACAAAAUGGUAGCUGAAAUUAAACAACAACAUUCAUUACCCACAAAUAUGAAUUCUGCCUUCAUAAGCCUGCUCCAAAAACCAGGGAAAGACCCUACACUCCCACCGAGUUAUAGACCAAUUUCACUAAUAAAUGUAGAUCUAAAAAUAGUGUGUAAAGCACUUGCUAGAAGAUUAGAAAAAAUCACUCCAUAUAUAAUUCACUCUGAUCAAACAGGCUUCAUUAAAGGUAGACAGUCAACAAACAAUAUGAACAGACUAAUUAAUUUAAUUGAUUAUGUCACCAUCCAUAAACUAGAGUCAGCCAUCGUCUCCUUAGAUGCAGAAAAAGCUUUCGAUAGAGUAAACUGGAAGUUUCUUUUAGCCACUCUGCACAAAGGCUGCCCACUUUCCCCAUCACUAUUUGCAAUAUUUAUUGAACCUCUAGCCGCAGCAAUAAGACAGCAUGAAGGAAUUACUGGAAUAUCGACCAAAUCAGUAAAUCAUAAAAUAAGUUUAUAUGCUGACGAUGUGUUACUGUUUCUCCUGGAGCCACAGACGUCUCUUCCUACAACUAUCAGCCUCAUAGAUGAAUUCUCGGGACUUUCAGAGUACUCUAUUAACUGGACCAAAUCUAUAGUGCUACCACUUAACCUUAAGGUGACUAACAUCUCUUCUACCACACUCCAUUCAGGGAACAUUAAAUACUUGGGCAUUGAAUUGUCGUCUAGGCUGUCAGAGCUUAUCGAUCUAAACUACAAUCCAUUAUUAAAACAAAUAGAAGCCAACCUCAAAAGAUGCCAGUCCUUACCCAUUUCACUUAUGGGAAGAAUUGCCACCAUAAAAAUGAUGAUCCUGCCAAAAAUUAAUUACAUAUUCUCAAUGAUUCCAACUCAGCCAGCCCAGGCGUGGUUUAAGACAUUAGACUCCUACAUUUCACAGUUUUUGUGGAAAACCAAGCCACCACGAAUUAGUUUAAAAACUCUUCAAAAAUCCAGACGCUGCGGUGGCCUAGAACUACCUAACUUCAACCACUAUUUUCUUGCCAAUAGACUGAACCAUGUCCACAAAUGGAUAAAACCCAUGCCAGCAGACUCCUCCUGGAUAGACAUUGAACAAACAUUUUGUGGAAAUAUUAAAGUUGCAGAUCUGCCCUUUAUCAGCACCAAAAUCAAAAAUCAUAGUUGUUACCAGAACAUUAGCAUAAAAUCAUCUCUGCAAGCCUGGUGGGAGUUUCUUAAAAUUAAUGGGUCUUCGCUUACUCUUUGCCAAAACACACCUCUCUGGAACAAUCCAGACAUCAUACAAAACAAAAAGGCAAUACACCAACUUGGCAUAUCAAAGGGAUAACACAUCUGAAACACGUUUUCACAAGAGACAAGUUUACCUCUUUUAAAGAACUAGUGUCUCACUAUGAAAUCACUAGUGCCAAUUUCUUAGAAUACCAACAACUAAAGUCAAUACUUAAUGCAAAAAGUAAGAAUACUGCCAUCCACAUGCAACCACCACCAGUAAUAGAGCGAUUUAUUGAUAUAUCAGGGAAAAGGACAGUAUCCAAAAUCUAUAUCUUAAUUUCCAAUGUAGACCAGACAGUGAGCCUUCCGAUCUCUAAAUGGGAAGCUGAUCUCAAUAUCACCACUAAUUACACGUUCUGGAAUAACAUAUGUUCUAAUUUAUUCAGAAUGACAAAAAAUACAAAUUUACAACUAAUACAAUACAAAAUUCUUCAUAGAACUCGCUAUACAGGACAAAGGAUGUUCCAAAUGGGUCUCACAAACUCAAAUAUUUGCCCUCACUGUACAGAUAACACAGUAGAUAGAUUCCUACAUGCAUUCUGGUCAUGCUCACCUGUGCAGCAAUUUUGGCAAAGAGUAUGUGAACACCUGUCAACCCAGUUAAGCUGUCCAAUCCCAGCAGCCCCUGCACUUUGUCUUCUAGGAGAUCUAAGUGGGCUUGAUCUAGAGACAAACUCAUCACACACACUUCUUUCUGCCCUCUGUGUCGCAAAGAAAAUCAUCCUCAUGAACUGGAAAACUAAAAAAAAAUUAAGCAUUACUCAAUACCUGAACAGCUUGUUAGAUUAUACCACCUUAGACACAUUGUCUGCUUCAUCAAAUCAAUGACCAAAACUAUACUCUGAUUGAUUCCAUUUCCAGGUAAGGAUGCGUGGGGCUCGGGUACUGCGUCAUGUCUGGCACAGUGGUGGUGUGGUGACUAGUGGUUGGGUGUGCCUGCCUGCCUAAGGAACCAGGAUGGGUUGGUGGACUCUGGGCUGGCCGCAUGGGUCCCCUGCGGCGAGGGUGUGGUGGCUGCUGAGACCGGCGGCCCUGUGCCGGAGUGGGACCAUUUUGAGGGUUGGCGUGUGCCUGUCUCCGGGGAGCCGGAGGCGGGCCUCCCUGCCGGUGUGCGGGGGCGGACCUGGGGGUGGAGACCUGGGUGACCUGCGUCCGGGGGACUCCCUCUGGGGGUGCCUGCCUGUGCCCGAAGGGGUGUCUCUCCCCUGGGGCGCUGCCCCUGCUCGGGUGGGGCGCUGCCUGCCCUAGCGGUCCGACGCCCUCUGGUAACUGCUCGGCCUGUUGUAGGGGGGGUUGGCGGACUACUCAGGCUAGAACCUUCAUUGGGCCCUGGGCGGAGGCUGGCCCUCAAUGCACAACCGCAGAGUAUGUGUGUGGGUUUGAGUGUCACACUACACGGGGCGAGCAUGGGCAUACUUGAGCGAGAGAAUGGGUAAGUGUGAAAGAAGGGUGAGGAUGGCUCUGGCUGUGCUGCGUGUGGCGCCUGGGCAGUAGUACUGCGGUCCCUGGGUCUCGGCUGUCCCAUCCUGGCUGGGGGUUGUGGGGGGUGGUGGGAUAGGUAGCAAAGCCAGUCGGGAACCUGGCUCUGCGGACCCUGGUGCUCUGCUUCCCAACUACGUUUCUCCGCAUUCAUCCACUUAGGUCUGCAAGGGGCAUCCUGCUGAUGGAGGGACCGGGGCUACUGGGAAGUGGUUCCGUCCCUUCCAAGUGGGAUGCUCUGCAGUUUUAAUUACAUUAGUCAUACACACUUGUCCAGGAAUCUGGGGGCUCCUUCCGGGGGGGCCAGUAGACGGAGCCUUCCUAUUGAUGGCUCUGUCUGCUGGACCCCUCGGAGAAUUGGGUAUCUCCCAAAGUUCCUCAUACUUAGCCACAUACACAUACAUUUAGGGCCGGGGGUGGGCUCCUUCACUGGGGCCUGGGGUUGAGGCCAGUUGUGGCCUCGGCCACUGGCCCUGGUGGAGAGAUCACCACCCAGUUUUAACUGCAAAAAGACAUUUAGGGCGAGGGGGGGCACUGUCCGGGGGACACUCCGUCAGCCAGCGGUUGUGCUCCUGGAGGUGUCACCCACCUUCAGUGCACUUUAGUUCCACACACUCACGUCCAAGCUGGGUUGCAGAGUUCUGGGGUGCCUUUUUCUGCUGCCCUCUGCCUCCCCUGGGUUGGGGGGGUUGGUCGGGGGUCGGGAGGAGCUGCGGUGCCACAUGGACGGCAGGCCGAAGACCUACCCUCCCCACGAAUGUGAUCAAGCGAAUGGUGUGGGUGCGAGAAUGUAUCUGAGAGUGCAUUGGUUCACGUAUGAUUGACUAGUUUGUUGUGAGAGAGUCUAUGGUGUUUGUAUGUGUUGAUGUGAUGAUGUGUGUUGCACAUGUGGGUGGGUGUAUGCGUCUGUGUUUGUGUGAGUUGGUAUGCGUGUGGUGCGGUUGGAGUGUGGGGGGUCCGGUUUUUCGCCCGGGGUACGAUGAUCGUCUGCCUGGGUGGUCUCUUUUCUGCUGACCCCACCAAUUGCUGGCCUUGUGCUGCAGGCCGCUGUGGCGCCAGGGGAUGAGGUCGGGCCGAUGGGGUAGGCCCCGCUCCGCCCAUGUGGGGGUGGUGGACUGGGGGCGGGCCCCACUCUGCGCGCUGGGGCAUCUUCUGGCGGGCUCCCUACGGACCGUGGGUCCUCGGGCUCUACUCUUUCAGGCCGACCCUCCCGCCGGGGGGAGUGUUUGCCCCUGGUUCUCAUGGGGCGGACAGCGUUGACCCCCGGUGGCCCACUCUGGCCUCGGGUGCUGUCUCUGUGGCUGCUGCAGCUCUGCCUGGGGGGCUCUGUGUGGGCGGCUUGGGUCGCAACACCUGCCCUCCUGGAACUGAAGGUGUGUGGGCUCCCUGGCUGCUAGGAUUCCUUCCUCUGCUUGCUGGAUGGGCGUAGUGGCCGAGCCCCUCACAUCACCCUGGCUUCCACAAGUGGCAUUGUUCAUGCACCAACGUCAGCCUCACCCUUUGGGUGAAUAAUGUUAAGCUACAGCCUUACUAACCUUGUAGUGGGACACUUUCCAAAUCCAACUAUGGAUUACAGCUGUGGACGACAUCCGCCAGUAAA